CGGCAGCAUUCAUUACAGACUGUAGCAGAGCAAUACGGCUUUUGGGAAGACCAAUUAGGAGAGGGUUACAAUAAUCCAUGAGGAAAAUUACUAGAGCAGUUCACGUUCUUUCUGCCUUACAGUGCAAGAUCUCUUCUAAUGGACAAGUUACAAAACCAUGUACCAUAGAUGCUGGCACACAGAAUGUAUCUUUACAGUGCUUGCUGUGAGUAUUGUCUGCAAAAAGAGUAUUGAAAAGGUUGGAGUUCAGGGAAAUGUCUGGUUAAGCUCUUUAGCAGAAUCUUGUGUAAGAAAGGGGCGGAUGCGGGCUAUGUUUUUAAGGUGGAGUCUACAGGAUUUGGUAACACAAUGGAUGUGAGGCCAUAAUUAUAAAGCCAAGACCGCGUGCUUGCAAGGAUGCACAGGUGUGGGUACCACUAACUUGAAGGGAGAGUGAAAGAGGAGGAUCAGUAUUAGGAGGAGGAAAGACAAGGAGUUCCGUUUUAGAGGGGGAG